rnacentral:ribozyme from 1 species
UUCAAGUCCAGGAACGCUGCCUCAAACCUAACUUUGCAGUCAGGUAUCAUCAUGGCUGACUCGUCAGCGACUCUCUCCGCUUGCCUGACGUCGUAGGUGUCU